rnacentral:tRNA from 1 species
UCCUCUGUAGUAGAGUGGUUAGUAUUCCCGCCUGUCAUGCAGGCGACCGGGGUUCGAGUCCCCGCCAGGGAG